GGUGCAUUCGAGUGAGAUAAAAACAGAAGCUGGUAACAUGCAAACAUCACCUGUGGAUGGUAAGAUCAAUCGCACGGAGGCCAACCGCAUUCGAGCGGCUGUGACUAAUCUAGCUUAGUGCUACAGAAGCCGGCCUUGAAAGAUCUCCUUCGACUCAGGAUUUCGCCACGAAGCCUUUCAAAGUCUUUGUAAGUGUGUUUCUAGAUGUUUCCCUCAGGGACUCCUGUGCCCAGCGCCCUAGACCCAUUUCCUCCCUGGAAGGUCCUCCGGGACCAGCGUGGAGGAGGCUGCGCCUGAGCCUGGGCCGCCUCUGAGCUAGCGGCCGCAGGAGGAAAGAGGGACGUCAUGACAAAGCUGAAGCUAGCGGGGAUGACGCCUCUGAAAAGCUUCUUGCUCCAAAGAGUACCGUCAGAAGAAGCAUGCAUUAUAGGAACAGGACACAGCGGUCGCCACGGCACUGCCAGCUGCCACGUCCCAAGCCGGCAAAGCCUCCUAAAUGCGCCCCGUGCCGUGACAGUGCCACUCAGUGUGCCACGUGCUGUUUCCUCCCCGUGCCAGCCGGAGAUGCCCUGGCAUAGAAAACGACCGCAGAGUAGUGUCCCGACCCAACAGGGAUAGAGCGAGGGACUCAGACGCCAGGGCGGAGCUCCUCCUGGCCAGGUCAGUGGCCCUCCACGGCGUGAGGACACAGUUUGGGGUGGCCCAGUGCUUGGAUCGGGGAGCAGCCCUGCCCACAGCGAGGCACCGGUGCCCGUGUGACUGUUCACACAUUUUCCCAGGGCACGGGAAACACUGGGUUCUCUGUAGGGCGAGGGUCAUGGCCAGGGGCUGGAGUCAGAAUGAGGCCCCAACCACCUGGAUUCCCUUGCCUGCCUGCCGGCCGUCGAAGACACACAGAAGCUCAUGGAGAUACAAAGGUGAGGAGACUCGCCACGUCGGAGUG